CACGUAGGGCGCGAGCGUUGUCCGGAAUUAUUGGGCGUAAAGAGCUCGUAGGCGGCCUGUUGCGUCCGCUGUGAAAGCCCGGGGCUUAACCCCGGGUCGGCAGUGGAUACGGGCAGGCUAGAGGUAGGUAGGGGAGAAUGGAAUUCCCGGUGUAGCGGUGAAAUGCGCAGAUAUCAGGAAGAACACCCGUGGCGAAGGCGGUUCUCUGGGACGGUACUGACGCUGAGACGCGAAAGCGUGGGGAGCGAACAGG
rnacentral:rRNA from 1 species